rnacentral:rRNA from 1 species
GAUGAACGCUGGCGGCGUGCCUAAUACAUGCAAGUCGAGCGAACGGACGAGAAGCUUGCUUCUCUGAUGUUAGCGGCGGACGGGUGAGUAACACGUGGAUAACCUACCUAUAAGACUGGGAUAACUUCGGGAAACCGGAGCUAAUACCGGAUAAUAUUUUGAACCGCAUGGUUCAAACGUGAAAGACGGUCUUGCUGUCACUUAUAGAUGGAUCCGCGCUGCAUUAGCUAGUUGGUAAGGUAACGGCUUACCAAGGCAACGAUGCAUAGCCGACCUGAGAGCGUGAUCGGCCACACGGGAACUGAGACACGGCCCAGACUCCUACGGGAGGCAGCAGUAGGGAAUCUUCCGCGAUGGGCGAAAGCCUGACGGAGCAACGCCGCGUGAGUGAUGAAGGUCUUCGGAUCGUAAAACUCUGUUAUUAGGGAAGAACAUAUGUGUAAGUAACUGUGCACAUCUUGACGGUACCUAAUCAGAAAGCCACGGCUAACUACGUG